rfam:Xanthomarina gelatinilytica strain AK20 contig13, whole genome shotgun sequence.
GGGGUCGACUGGUUUUGACAGCGAGAUUAAUGAAAUGGUAAGCACGUCGUGUAAUGACUUUGAAACACGUAAAAGGCUAGGUCAAACAUUUAAACGGCGAGAAUAACUACGCUUUAGCUGCCUAAUCUGAAUUACAGUAGGAUUGGCCUAGGUACACAAGGUGUACAAGCUAAAUGUCUCCAGAAAGCCUUGGUUAGUGGCGUUCUAUUUAGAGGCAUCGUAAAAAUUAACCAAGAUAGUGCAGUGCUUUGAUGCACUUUCGAGAUUAAAAAGCUAAGUUGUAAGUAGGUUGUCUGUAACCAGCUUACAAUCGAAAAAACAAGAACAGAAUAAACGUGUAGAAAGCCCUUUGGUUACUUGUUUGGACGAGAGUUCGAUUCUCUCCGACUCCACAA